rnacentral:rRNA from 4 species
GGGUUGUGAGGUUAAGCGACUAAGCGUACACGGUGGAUGCCCUGGCAGUCAGAGGCGAUGAAGGGCGUGCUAAUCUGCGAUAAGCGCCGGUAAGGUGAUAUGAACCGUUAUAACCGGCGAUACCCGAAUGGGGAAACCCAGUGUGAUUCGUCACACUAUCAUUAACUGAAUCCAUAGGUUAAUGAGGCGAACCGGGGGAACUGAAACAUCUAAGUACCCCGAGGAAAAGAAAUCAA